UGGAGAGUUUGAUCCUGGCUCAGAUUGAACGCUGGCGGCAUGCCUUACACAUGCAAGUCGAACGGCAGCACGGGUGCUUGCACCUGGUGGCGAGUGGCGAACGGGUGAGUAAUACAUCGGAACAUGUCCUGUAGUGGGGGAUAGCCCGGCGAAAGCCGGAUUAAUACCGCAUACGAUCUACGGAUGAAAGCGGGGGACCUUCGGGCCUCGCGCUAUAGGGUUGGCCGAUGGCUGAUUAGCUAGUUGGUGGGGUAAAGGCCUACCAAGGCGACGAUCAGUAGCUGGUCUGAGAGGACGACCAGCCACACUGGGACUGAGACACGGCCCAGACUCCUACGGGAGGCAGCAGUGGGGAAUUUUGGACAAUGGGCGAAAGCCUGAUCCAGCAAUGCCGCGUGUGUGAAGAAGGCCUUCGGGUUGUAAAGCACUUUUGUCCGGAAAGAAAUCCUUGGCUCUAAUACAGYCGGGGGAUGACGGUACCGGAAGAAUAAGCACCGGCUAACUACGUGCCAGCAGCCGCGGUA
rnacentral:rRNA from 1 species